GACGUCACGUACCGUACGUUGACUUUAUAGAGAACAUUAUUUCGAUGUAGUGUGGCGGAAACAAAAGAUACGAGCUAUGGGGAGCUAUGGAGAAGGAUAAAUCACCACUCACCGUUACUUCAAAUUGUUGAAGAAUUUUAUUCUAAUCAGUCAAACUUAACCUGCUUGGAGGGGAAUCCUUUACUUACUGCGGCAGCCCCCGGGACACAGUGGUAGCCCGAACAUGAACGGAGGCGUCCCGGGGCUAUCCACGUGAGAGUACCGUACCGUACCUCGCUUGAACUUCAACUGUAGACUAGGAACAACGGUUUACUGCAGACAGCAGUCGACACGAGUAGACUAAAUGGCGGGACCGAGAACAAACGAAACGAGGACAAAGUGGAUGCAGACCAAUCAGCAAUUUACUGGAUUUGCAGCUGUGCGGAUAUGUGAUUGAAGAUGUAUCUGAGAUCCUUCUUCAAGAACCGCACAUCUUCAGAGAACCACUGUUAAAAAGGAAUACAUGGGACUACCAAUUUUGGAUUACAUCUGGAUUGAGAGUGCACUUUCACAGAGGGAGUCCACUGCAUAGAUGAACAGAGAUGAACUCCAACACCAAUGCUAGAAUGAUCAACGGUGCUGGUCCUUCCACCAGUGAACCUGGCCCCACCCCUCCCCCUUUACCUCCCGGUGGACCCCCUAGCCUGAUGGCAACAGGGGCAUCUUUGCCCCCAUCAUCAGUGGGCGGUGCCCCUGGUGGGGUAAUGGGUGGUGGUGGCGGUGGGCCUGGAGUUACCAGGACGGGACAGUCCAGUGGAUUUGGGGUGUGGUGCGAGAGGUGUAACAGUCGGCUGGUGGAGCUGAAGAAGCAGGCCGUGAGAUUGAUGGUCAUGCAUCCAAACCUCAUGAAAUUGGCAAUGAAGGUAAGACAUAAUUCCUAUAAAAUCUCUUCACUCAGUUGCAAAGAUCUUGAGUACAUUUGUGGUACUAUGCCAGGUGAUACAUCAACUAACAUAUUGUAAAUUCUUUAACAAAGGGACUUCAAUGAAACAACAAAAGGAACAAUCUGCUCCCAUUUAUUUUCAUCUUCUUUAGAUGUAGAA